CUCAUUCGAUACCUGAAGGACAGGAGUUUCAUGGAAGUGCUGAUCCAUUGUUAUCUUGCUUUGGAUGUUGAUGUUCAGAAGUCUGAAACUUUUUUUGCUUUGUGACUCUUUCUUUUUGCUGAGUAUCUAAGGCAAUUAAUCCUACACAUCUAAGCUACCACCAACACUUUCAUAUACAAAAACCUGCCAUUCUUGUUGGCAUCAUUUUCUGACCCACAGUUCCCUAAUGUGCAUAUACUUCCUAUCUUCUUGUUUUCCAACCUUGACCUGACUACUGGUUUUCAGUAACUCCGGGGAUUUAACCUGAUUUCAUCUUGGUCGACCCGACUACUGGUUUUCAGUAACUCCGGGGAUUUCACCUGAUUUCAUCUUGGUCGACCCGACUACUGGUUUUCAGUAACUCCGGGGAUGUAACCUGAUUUCAUCUUGGUCGACCCGACUACUGGUUUUCAGUAACUCCGGGGAUGUAACCUGAUUUCGUCUUGGUCGACCCGACUACUGGUUUUCAGUAACUCCGGGGAUUUAACCUGAUUUCGUCUUGGUCGACCCGACUACUGGUUUUCAGUAACUCCGGGGAUUUAACUUGGUUUCUUCUUGGUCGACCCGACUACUGGUUUUCAGUAACUCCGGGGAUUUAACUUGGUUUCUUCUUGGUCGACCCGACUACUGGUUUUCAGUAACUCCGGGGAUUUAACUUGGUUUCUUCUUGGUCGACCCGACUACUGGUUUUCAGUAACUCCGGGGAUUUAACUUGGUUUCUUCUUGGUCGACCCGACUACUGGUUUUCAGUAACUCCGGGGAUUUAACUUGGUUUCGUCUUGGUCGACCCGACUACUAGUUUUCAGUAACUCUGCGGAUUUAACCUGGUUUCAUCUUGGUCGACCCGACUACUGGUUUUCAGUAACUCUGGGGAUUUCACCUGGUUUCAUCUUGGUCGACCCGACUACUGGUUUUCAGUAACUCUGGGGAUUUCACCUGGUUUCAUCUUGGUCGACCCGACUACUGGUUUUCAGUAACUCUGGGGAUUUAACCUGGUUUCAUCUUGGUCGACCCGACUACUGGUUUUCAGUAACUCUGGG
rnacentral:lncRNA from 1 species